rnacentral:rRNA from 1 species
UACGUAGGUGGCAAGCGUUGUCCGGAUUUAUUGGGUUUAAAGGGUGCGUAGGCGGUCUUUUAAGUCAGUGCUGAAAUACUCCAGCUUAACUGGAGGGGUGGCAUUGAUACUGGAUGGCUUGAAUCCGGGAGAGGGAUGCAGAAUUCCAGGUGUAGCGGUGAAAUGCGUAGAUAUCUGGAGGAAUACCGGUGGCGAAGGCGGCAUCCUGGACCGGCAUUGACGCUGAGGAGCGAAAGCUAGGGGAGCAAACGGG